GAUUACUACUUACUACAAUAUCACCAAUCCACAGAAAUUAAAUUGUGUUGUCUAAGGAUUUUUGUUACUACCAACAUUAUCCCCUCUUUUUUUAUGGAAAUGUGUAAUCGUAUGGAGCAUGUGCGUGACCACAGAGCAUGCGCAUGUGGUUACAAAGCAUAAUCAUUUCGCUACACUUCGUCGGUAUGAUAGAUUUUCUAACCUGAAUAAUCGUCAACUUUAACGAUUAAUAUCUUGGUUAACUGAGGAGAGCGACGUUUAUUUCUCCUGGAUUCUUUUGUUUUGUGCAAAAACGCAUCGAAUGAGCCUAAUUUUAUCACAAUUGGAGAUGACCUAAACUGUAUAAUUACCGAAAACGCUUUAGUGUACAUACAUUUCUUGCACUAGUUUCAGGAAUAAAUAACAAACCUCUAAUAUCAGUACCUCAGUUCGCAGGGCAGAGCGACAUUUUUUUCUGCAGAUUCUUUCAUUUCAACGCAAAAACGCAUUGAAUAAGCUUAAUUACAUCGAAUUUGAGUGAUUACAAUGAAUUCUUACAAAAAGAAACAAUCAACAUUGGAAGAGCAAGAAAAACAAGAACGACUUAGAUUGAAAAGGAAAGAAUGGUUUAUCCAACAGGAAUUGGAGAGAAAACACCAGGAACGAAAGUUAAAAAUGAUUGAAGAAUACGAAAAGAAGCGAGCUGAAACAAUAAAAAUUGAUAAAUCAAGGUGGAAAGCAUCAAUGAUAUUUAAAGGUCCAGAAGAUAUAAUCAUUAAUGAAAAAGAGCUGCAUAAUAUCAAGAUAAAAAUUAAUAAUAAGGGAAAUCUGUUAAUAAAAGAUCGAAAUAUGUCAAAAGAGAUUGAACGAGACAUAAUAAAUCCAGAUGACAUAAUUCUUCCAAGAAGAUCAAAUGAAGGCUCUUGUCCAAUAUUUGAAAGAAAUAAAAAGAGAAACAUUGAAGACAUACAGAUUAUCAAAUUUUCACAAGAUAAGCAAACAGAAAAAUCCUCAACAAGUGAGAAGAAUGCUCAUACAUACAAAACAAAUCUUGGUUAUGACUUAGUCACUCAACGUUACGGGCAGAUCUUUGCAAAAAUUGUGACUGGAUUUUCAGAGAGAUAUUCACUUUUUGACGAGAUGAAAGUCAUUUGAUGAUGAACUUGUAAAAAGUCAGUGAUUUUAGAUUGCAUGUGCCAACCAGACAUCGAAUUUAUCAAACGGAUAAUGAUGAUAGACAAAAGCACAACAGAUGGCAAAAUAGUUCAAUAAGAGAUAAUAAAAAGAAAGAUGGGAACGAACGAAGAGUUAGAAAUUCAUACUAUAGUAGCCGCAGGAUAUCCACUAGGAAUCGAUCGAAAUCUCAGUGCAGCAUUUACCUAGACCAAUGCCGAUGCCCACCAGAAUACAAGCACCACCAAUAGUUAUGCCCGUCCUCUCGGAACUAAUUCCUGCGCCAUUUCCACCGAUGAAUAUCCAUUGGCAUCAGUUUUCUCCCAGAUUUGUCAGUGGCAGAGGAAGCAAUCACAUACACAAUCCACAUUAAUCAAUAUUAGUCGCGCGCGUAUAUAAAGUAUCUGAAAAGAAUUUUAUACAUACCUUGAUAAACCAGCAGAAAUAGAUUUUGAACAACUAUAUUAUCUAGAUAUUAUAUUCUGUCAGAAAGGCAGCAAAUUUCAAACAGAAUAAUUUGUAAUAUCUGAUAAUGUCGACAAACUACUGUCAAAAAUAUGACAAAUUGCUAACAUCCCAGUAAACGAAAAUGGAUUAAAAUUUUCAGAAGUAUGUAUUCGUAAACAUUGAAAUGAAUCCAUAUCAAUGCUCAUUACGUUUGUAUUAAUUUAUAGGAAUUGAAUGAAACAUAUUUUUAUACCUUUCAAUCCAGAAAUAGAUUCAGUCUUAAAAAGUGGAUCGUGAAUACUGUUCAAUUCAAAAUUCUGGAUAGGAAAUGCAAUUUUUCAAUCCAAUAUAAACCAAAUUCAAUCCAAUUUAAUUCAAUUAAAUAUAAAAAAGUUUUCCGUAUGUGUGUGUGCGUGCGUGCGUGCGUGCGUGCGUGCGUGUGUGUGUGUGUGAAAAUAUUAUUAUACAUAUCAACGAAUACAAAAGCACUGAACAUUGAAAUGGAUUCAUUUCAUGUUGACGAAUGUGUGCUUCUGAAAAUUUCAAUACAUUUUAUUUAUUUUCGUUUACUAUGGGAUGUUAUGUCAAUUGGCAGCAGAAAUCAAGUAGAAUCUGAUAUGACGGCCUAAAAUGGCGGCAGAUUAGCAGCAAAAAUCAAAUAGAUUUUGCGUCGCGGAGUCUGCUUGAUUUCUGCUGCUAAUCUGCUGACAGCUAAAACUGCUAAAAUUAAUAGAUUCUGUCAACAUAACAUGCGGAAUAUGAUCUCGGAUGAAGUCAACCUACUAACGUUUUCUGACUAGGUGUUAAAUCUGUUGCCAGAUUGCCGAUAUUUCGCUAACAUUUUGCUGACUAGGUGGGUGUAUGCAUACGUGCGUGCGUGUGCGCGCGCGCGCGUGCGUAUAUAAAAUACUUAGAUUAUUUCAUGUAUCUUCGAUUGCAAGAGGUUUUGAUAUGGGUUAAUGCCAUUAUAAUGUACUUCCUGCUUUCCUGUUUUUUUUCCCAACGCUCGUAUUCUGUUUUCAUCUCAUUUUAUAUGCAUAAAUUGCAGUAUAAUGGCAUAACCGAAUUAAAAGUCACUGCUAUCGAAAACAUCAGUUUAACAUUACAUUAACAACUACGUGCCUUAUAUAAAUUUUAAUUCUAAUGAUUAUUGGGAUAAUAAGUAUCUCAAUUUUAAUAAGAUUUAUUUUAAUAAGGUUAUUUUAAUAAGGUUUUCUUAAAUUGACUUUUUUUACUGUAGUAAAUAAAAACAUUUUACAAUAUGGAUGAUAA